GGUGAACGCAAUUAGCAUUUUAGCCACGUUGCUCGUCUGACUCAUUCUGCUCCACGAAGGUCAUCUCCUCUGCCAGCUUCCUCUGAUCCAGGGAGACCCUCUGCUUCUCUCUGAUUGGUUCCCGCUUUCUACAGGAGGUCCAGUGCAGCUGAAUGGUGAUGAUGGUGCAAAUCAGUAACACUGACACUGUCUCCAUCCACACCCGUCACCUCCUGUUUGUCCACUGACAGCCCUGGAGGACUUCAACA